ensembl:snRNA U6 U6 spliceosomal RNA
AUGCUCGCUUCAGCAGCACAUGUACUAAAACUGGAAUGACACAGAGAAGAUUAGCAGGGUCCCUACAUAAGGAUGACAGGCAAAUUUGUGAAGUGUUAAGCAUUCCA